rnacentral:SRP_RNA from 1 species
GAAGUCUUGCAGCCUGGCAGGGUGAUACACUUCUAUAGUCUUGGCUACUCGAGCUGUGGGCUGUGAUGGACUAUGUUCAUCGGGUGUCCGCACUAAGUUCAGCGUCAGUAUGGUGACCUCUUGGGAGUGGAGGACUGCCAGGCUGCCUAAGGAGGGGUGAACAGGUUCACACGGGAACCGAGCAGGUCAAAACUGAGGUGCUGAUCACUAGUGGGAUCGCACCUGUGAAAAGCCACUGCACUCCAUGCUAAGCAACAUAGUGAGACUAAU